rnacentral:lncRNA from 1 species
GGAGCCCCCACCUCCGCCGCUCCUCACCCUCAAAACGCAGCCGUUUCCAACCACCAUAGGAAGUAUCGCCAUUCUCCAAUCCUUUCACAGCUCACAAAGAACAACAUUCUCUGUUAAAAGCGCCCUUUCGCUUUCCCCAAACAUUUCUUCCAACCAAAGGCCACAACACUCCCCCCUUUAUACUUUACACUCACCCAAUUCCUCUCCUCCUCCGCCACCUACCCAUAUCCCUCCU